rnacentral:rRNA from 1 species
UACGUAGGUGGCGAGCGUUGUCCGGAUUUAUUGGGCGUAAAGCGCGCGCAGGUGGUGCGGUAAGUCCUGUGUGAAAUCUCCCGGCUCAACUGGGAGGGUGCGGAGGAGACUGCCGGACUGGAGGCACUCAGAGGCCGGUGGAAUUCCCGGUGUAGUGGUGAAAUGCGUAGAGAUCGGGAGGAACACCAGUGGCGAAGGCGGCUCACUGGCCCGAUACUGACGCUGAGGCACGAAAGCGUGGGGAGCAAACAGG